CACGCAGGCGGUUUGGUAAGUCAGAUGUGAAAGCCCACGGCUCAACCGUGGAAGUGCAUUUGAAACUGCUAGACUUGAGUAUCAGAGGGGAAGGUGGAAUUCCCGGUGUAGAGGUGAAAUUCGUAGAUAUCGGGAGGAAUACCGGUGGCGAAGGCGACUUUCUGGCUGAAUACUGACGCUGAGGUGCGAAAGCGUGGGGAGCAAACA
rnacentral:rRNA from 1 species